GUACUGGGACGAUUCCGCGGAGCCGGGCAGAGGUUUUAGGGGUGCGCAGGAGUCAAGUGGUGGUUCAGUGGGGACGGAAUGAUUAACAAAGGCGUCCGAAGAAAUCGUUGUUGGAAGGUGACCAAGGUGGAAAGAGACGUUGCUUUGGCCCUGCAAGUAAGAAGAGAGAGGGAAUAGCCUGAAGGAGUAACACUAAAUUUAAAAUGACACUUUUUUACCAACCAGCGAAAGCAGAUGUUCAAAGGGGAUAUUGGCCAGGUGCGGUCGCUCACGCCUUUAAUCCCAGCACUUUGGGGGCAGACGCGGGGAGAUAGCGUGAUUCUAGGAGUUCAACCCCAGCCUGGGCAACAUGCGGAGACCCCGUACCGUCUCUACAAAAACAUUAAACAAAAAAAUUAGCUGGGCAUGGUGGUGUACCCCUGUAGUUGCAGCUACACUAGAGGCUGAGGUGGGAGGAUCGCUUGAGCCCGGGAUGUUGAGGCUGCAGUGAGCCUCGAUCCUACCACUGUGCUCCAGCCUGGGCGACAGCAAGCCCGUGUCUCAGAAAAGGCGGGAGGGGUGGGAUAUUAUUGAUGAUAGGCCUUCUGACGUCUGGCAAUAGAUUCCAGAGUAACAUCGGUCAUGGAUAAAUUUUUUUUUUAACUAAGUGACUGAAACCAAAGUUAAUUGUCUUUUGAGUGAUUUUGCACAGUAUCUCAAAAUGAACUGUACUUUUUUUCUUGUGUCACUGAAACAGUGCUGUGUGUUCUUUUUCAGAGUCUGUCACACUAAGAUGAGAAAUGUCCUUUCUUCCUGAAGGUGUCUGAUGUGUAAAAAUAUGAUAUACUUUGUGCUGUUUCCUCC
rnacentral:lncRNA from 1 species